AGAGUUUGAUCCUGGCUCAGGAUGAACGCUGGCGGCGUGCCUAAUACAUGCAAGUCGAACGCAUAUCUUCGGAUAUGAGUGGCGAACGGGUGAGUAAUACAUAAGUAACCUGGCCUUAAGAGGGGGAUAACUAUUAGAAAUGAUAGCUAAGACCGCAUAGGUAUGAAGAUCGCAUGAUCGACAUAUUAAAUAUCCCACGGGAUAGCUGAAGGAUGGACUUAUGGCGCAUUAGCUAGUUGGUAGGGUAACGGCCUACCAAGGCGACGAUGCGUAGCCGACCUGAGAGGGUGGACGGCCACACUGGGACUGAGACACGGCCCAGACUCCUACGGGAGGCAGCAGUAGGGAAUUUUCGGCAAUGGGGGGAACCCUGACCGAGCAACGCCGCGUGAGGGAGGAAGUAUUUCGGUAUGUAAACCUCUGUUAUAAAGGAAGAACGGUGCAUGUAGGGAAUGACAUGCAAGUGACGGUACUUUAUGAGGAAGCCACGGCUAACUACGUGCCAGCAGCCGCGGUAAUACGUAGGUGGCGAGCGUUAUCCGGAAUUAUUGGGCGUAAAGAGGGAGCAGGCGGCAGCUAAGGUCUGCGGUGAAAGCCCGAAGCUAAACUUCGGUAAGCCGUGGAAACCGAGCAGCUAGAGUGCAGUAGAGGAUCGUGGAAUUCCAUGUGUAGCGGUGAAAUGCGUAGAUAUAUGGAGGAACACCAGUGGCGAAGGCGACGAUCUGGGCUGCAACUGACGCUCAGUCCCGAAAGCGUGGGGAGCAAAUAGGAUUAGAUACCCUAGUAGUCCACGCCGUAAACGAUGAGUACUAAGUGUUGGGGGUCAAACCUCAGUGCUGCAGUUAACGCAAUAAGUACUCCGCCUGAGUAGUACGUUCGCAAGAAUGAAACUCAAAGGAAUUGACGGGGGCCCGCACAAGCGGUGGAGCAUGUGGUUUAAUUCGAAGCAACGCGAAGAACCUUACCAGGUCUUGACAUCGAUCUAAAGGAUCCAGAGAUGGAUAGAUAGUUAUAGAGAAGACAGGUGGUGCAUGGUUGUCGUCAGCUCGUGUCGUGAGAUGUUGGGUUAAGUCCCGCAACGAGCGCAACCCUUGUCGUUAGUUACCAGCAGUAAGAUGGGGACUCUAGCGAGACUGCCUCUGCAAGGAGGAGGAAGGCGGGGAUGACGUCAAAUCAUCAUGCCCCUUAUGACCUGGGCUACACACGUGCUACAAUGGACGGAUCAAAGGGAAGCGAAGCCGCGAGGUGAAGCGAAACUCAAAAACCCGUUCUCAGUUCGGACUGCAGUCUGCAACUCGACUGCACGAAGUUGGAAUCGCUAGUAAUCGCGAAUCAGAAUGUCGCGGUGAAUACGUUCUCGGGCCUUGUACACACCGCCCGUCACACCAUGAGAGUUGGUAACACCCGAAGCCGGUGGCCUAACCGCAAGGAAGGAGCUGUCUAAGGUGGGACUGAUGAUUGGGGUGAAGUCGUAACAAGGUAACC
rnacentral:rRNA from 1 species